GCAGUUAAAAAGAAUCCGAAAGCAUGAAUAAAAAAAUAUUGAGACUAACCUAAUAUCUAUAUCAAAAGCUUGGUAUAACUGCCUAUGAGCACGCUUUCAAAUAAAAUAAUGUGGUUAAAUGUUUGUAAAAACAACAAUAAAUAAUUAAGUUAUAAAAGUUUAAGUUAUACAAUUAUUAAGUUAUAAAAGUGCCACAAUUGUCCCACUAUCACGUGCUGGGGUGGCAUUUUGCUCCUAUGAACGGGUUAUAAAACUACAAAAUGAGUUUUAAAUUCAUGAUUUAAUAUUAAUGAGAUUUUUUUAUGUAAUGUUUUAAUUCUAGAUGUUUAUUUAUGUAAAUGCUGCAUUAACUGUGGCGUGUUUUAAUGCGCGUGCGCGCCGAACAUUCGAACCGCUUUCAAACACUGGAGCGGCGCAGAGUUGCCAUGGAAACGGACAAACAACAACUGACAAGCAGCAAAAACAGCAGUCUCUCGCUGUUGUUUUCACUUCUUUCAGCAGCGAUAAAAUAACCCCUCUACAACAGAGGGGAAGCUCCGAAGAUUUCAACAUUUCUGAAGGAAGCAGCUGACAGAACAAGGAAACACAGAUACUUCCCUGCUGACGCUCUGCACGAUAGCAGAGUUGGAGCGGAUAAAAAAGUUCCUGUCGGACCACAUGACUAGAUGCCCAGCAAGGUUACUAGAGGUUACAACAGCUCCAGUUUGGAUCCAGCCUCACUUGUGAAGACUGAAGAUGAUGGAACUAUAGAUGAACAUACAAAACUGACAGAUAUUAUCCUUAUAUUGUAAUCAUUGGUCCGGGUUCACAGACAGGGCUUAGAUUAAGUCAGGAUUAGGUCUUAGUUAAAUUAGGACAUUAACGUAGCUUUUUUUAAACAUGCUUUAGAAAAAAAAUAAAAAUCAUUACUGUUGUGCAUCUUGACACAAAACAAUGACACUGACAUAUAUUAAGAUAUGCUUUCAGGUAAAGGGUUAGUUCACUCAAAAAUUAAA